GAUGUUCUCUCUUUGUGAUUGUCAGUAUUUUCUGUUCAGCUUUUAGGCUCCAUGGACAGGACCGAAUCAGGUUUACUCACUAAUGAAUCUCCAGUGCCCAGAACAGUUCCUGGCACACCAGGAGGCCAGGGACUGGGAGUUGCCAGGCAGACGGAAAAAGGAAAGGAGUGUGGGGAAAGGGAGAAGAGAAUAGAGGUGGAAGAGGACAUCUCUGGGAGGUUUGACAGAGAAUCCAGUCAGCUUGCUGAUAAAAAGUCUAUUACAAGGUGCAGGCAGGUAUGCUUUUCCUUUUAUUUAUAACCUCAUUCUCCAAUUCCCACGACAGUUGUUUAU
rnacentral:lncRNA from 1 species